rnacentral:rRNA from 1 species
AUUGAACGCUGGCGGCAUGCCUUACACAUGCAAGUCGAACGGCAGCACGGGAGCAAUCCUGGUGGCGAGUGGCGAACGGGUGAGUAAUGUAUCGGAACGUGCCCAGUCGUGGGGGAUAACGUAGCGAAAGCUACGCUAAUACCGCAUACGAUCUAUGGAUGAAAGCGGGGGAUCGCAAGACCUCGCGCGAUUGGAGCGGCCGAUAUCAGAUUAGGUAGUUGGUGGGGUAAAGGCUCACCAAGCCGACGAUCUGUAGCUGGUCUGAGAGGACGACCAGCCACACUGGGCCUGAGACACGGCCCAGACUCCUACGGGAGGCAGCAGUGGGGAAUUUUGGACAAUGGGCGCAAGCCUGAUCCAGCAAUGCCGCGUGCAGGAUGAAGGCCUUCGGGUUGUAAACUGCUUUUGUACGGAGCGAAAAGGCUCUCUCUAAUACAGGGGGCUCAUGACGGUACCGUAAGAAUAAGCACCGGCUAACUACGUGCCAGCCGCCGCAGUAAAAC